UUAGUUCCGGUGCGUUUGUUAAACAUGGAUAUGCCAAAUCAGGGCGAAGCUUGUUUAUUUCACUCCAGAUGUGCUGACCUCUGUGAUUUCCCCAAAUGUGGGAAACUCGACUGCAUAGUUUAGUGGGGGACUGCGUUCUCACUUUCUCAUG
rnacentral:snRNA from 1 species